AGAGUUUGAUCAUGGCUCAGGAUGAACGCUGGCGGCGUGCCUAACACAUGCAAGUCGAGCAGAAGCUCUUGACGGAUCCUUCGGGUGACGGAUAGAGCGGAAAGCGGCGGACGGGUGAGUACGCGUAGGCAACCUGCCCUUCACAGAGGGAUAGCCUCGGGAAACCGGGAUUAAAACCUCUAAUGCCACGAAGAGACAUCUCUUUGUGGCCAAAGAUUUAUCGGUGAAGGAUGGGCCUGCUCUGAUUAGUUAGUUGGUGGGGUAACGGCCUACCAAGGCGACGAUCAGUAGCCGACCUGAAGGGUGAUCGGCCACAUUGGAACUGAGACACGGUCCAAACUCCUACGGGAGGCAGCAGUGGGAAUAUUGCACAAUGGGGGAAACCCUGAUGCAGCAACGCCGCGUGAAGGAAGAAGGCCUCGGGUCGUAAACUUCUGUCCUUGGGGAAGAAACAAAUGACGGUACCCUUGGAGGAAGCCCGGCUAACUACGUGCCAGCAGCCGCGGUAAUACGUAGGGGGCAAGCGUUAUCCGGAAUUAUGGGCGUAAAGAGUACGUAGGCGGUUCUUUAAGCGCAGGGUUUAAGGCAAUGGCUCAACCAUGUUCGCCCUGUGAACUGGGGGACUUGAGUAUCGGAGAGGAAAGCGGAAUUCCUAGUGUACGGUGAAAUGCGUAGAUAUUAGGAGGAACACCAGUGGCGAAGGCGGCUUUCUGGACGAAUCUGACGCUGAGGUACGAAAGCGUGGGGAGCAAACAGGAUUAGAUACCCUGGUAGUCCACGCGUAAACGAUGAGCACUAGGUGUCGGGGCCGCAAGGUUUCGGUGCCGCAGUUAACGCAUUAGUGCUCCGCCUGGGGAGUACGCACGCAAGUGUGAA
rnacentral:rRNA from 1 species